UACGCAGGCGGAAAAUUAAGUCAGUGGCGAAAUCCUGCAGCUUAACUGUAGAACUGUCAUUGAUACUGGUUUUCUUGAAUAUAGUUGAGGUAGGCGGAAUGUGUAAUGUAGCGGUGAAAUGCUUAGAUAUUACACAGAACACCGAUUGCGAAGGCAGCUUACUAAGCUAUGAUUGACGCUGAGGUACGAAAGCGUGGGGAGCGAACAGGAUUAGAUACCCUGGUAGUCC
rnacentral:rRNA from 1 species